GUUAAGAUAGCACAGAGGCCAUGCAGAAGACCUAAAACCUUUUCACAGGGGUUCAAACCCCCUUCCUAACA
rnacentral:tRNA from 1 species